UACGUAGGAGGCAAGCGUUGUCCGGAAUUACUGGGCGUAAAGCGCGUGUAGGUGGUGGGACAAGUCUGCUGUGAAAGCGCCUGGCUUAACCGGGCGAGGUCGGCGGAAACUGUCACACUUGAGGACGGUAGAGGGGGGUGGAAUUCCCGGUGUAGUGGUGAAAUGCGUAGAGAUCGGGAGGAACACCUGUGGCGAAGGCGGCCCCCUGGGCCGGCCCUGACACUGAGACGCGAAGGCGUGGGAGCGAACGGG
rnacentral:rRNA from 1 species